rnacentral:rRNA from 1 species
AGUGAACGCUGGCGGUAGGCCUAACACAUGCAAGUCGAACGGCAGCACAGGAGAGCUUGCUCUCUGGGUGGCGAGUGGCGGACGGGUGAGGAAUACAUCGGAAUCUACUUUUUCGUGGGGGAUAACGUAGGGAAACUUACGCUAAUACCGCAUACGACCUACGGAUGAAAGCAGGGGACCUUCGGGCCUUGCGCGAUUGAAUGAGCCGAUGUCGGAUUAGCUAGUUGGCGGGGUAAAGGCCCACCAAGGCGACGAUCCGUAGCUGGUCUGAGAGGAUGAUCCGCCACACUGGAACUGAGACACGGUCCAGACUCCUACGGGAGGCAGCAGUGGGGAAUAUUGGACAAUGGGCGCAAGCCUGAUCCAGCCAUACCGCGUGGGUGAAGAAGGCCUUCGGGUUGUAAAGCCCUUUUGUUGGGAAAGAAACCCAGCCGGCUAAUACCUGGUUGGGAUGACGGUACCCAAAGAAUAAGCACCGGCUAACUUCGUGCCAGCCGCCGCUGUAA